UUCCUGAUAGCUCAGUUGGUAAAGAAUCUGCCUGCAGUGCAGGAGACCUGGGUUUGAUCCCUGGUUUGGGAA
rnacentral:tRNA from 1 species